GAUGAACGCUGGCGGCGUGCCUAAUACAUGCAAGUCGAGCGAACGGACGAGAAUCUUGCUUCUCUGAUGUUAGCGGCGGACGGGUGAGUAACACGUGGAUAACCUACCUAUAAGACUGGGAUAACUUCGGGAAACCGGAGCUAAUACCGGAUAAUAUUUUGAACCGCAUGGUUCAAAAGUGAAAGACGGUCUUGCUGUCACUUAUAGAUGGAUCCGCGCUGCAUUAGCUAGUUGGUAAGGUAACGGCUUACCAAGGCAACGAUGCAUAGCCGACAUGAGAGGGGGGACGGACAAGUGGGAACGGAAACGAGGUCAAGACUAGAAGGGGAGGCAGCAGUGGGGAAAGGAAUGAAGUGGGCGAAAGAAAAAUGGAGAAAAGCCGCGAGAGGGAUAAGAGGAAUGGGAUCUGAAAACUAGGUUAUUAGGGAAGAAGACAAGAGCAGGUAACUAUGAACAACUUGACGGUACCUAAGCAGAAAGCACCGGCUAACUACGUG
rnacentral:rRNA from 1 species